GCCUUCAUGAAGCCGGAAUUGCUAGUAAUGGCAGGUCAGCAUACUGCCGUGAAUACGUUCCCGGGCCUUGUACACACCGCCCGUCACACCAUGAGAGUUGGGAAUACCCGAAGCCUGUGAGCUAACUUUUAGAGGCAGCAGUCGAAGGUAGAAUCAAUGAUUGGGGUGAAGUCGUAACAAGGUAUC
rnacentral:rRNA from 1 species